CAGUGCUCCUGUGGCUUCCACAAGGUAAGUGAGUUAUUUACUAAUUGAUUGUUUACAGGUUUGCUUGUUUCUUCCUCUGGUGGGCUUCAGUGAUUUUGCAGUAAUGCCUGAUGUAUUUUAACAACUGGAGAAAACUAGUAGUGUAGGAUUCUUAGAUGUAUGUACCAUGGCCUCUCUUUGUGAACCCCCCCCCAGCCAGCAGAUCUGUCAUCAGGAGCUGGGUCCAGUGAGGCAGGAGUAGUUGAGACGGAGGCAGGGCGAGUCCGAGUCGGCUCAGAGGCAGGAAGAGGAGACACGGAUGCAGGGGGAGCCCGGUCCCAAACAGAGGCAGAGGCAGGGAGAGGAGACAAGGAGGCAGGGAGAAGAGACACAGAGACAAGGAGAGGAGUCACGGAUGCAGGGGGAGCCCAGUCCCACACAGAGGCAGAGGCAGGGAGAGGAGACAAGGAGGCAGGGCCAUCAGUGGCAGGACAGGAAUUGCAGUGCUACGGGUGCAACCAGCUUGUGGAGGCAGCACAUUUUUCAGAGCACCUGUCUGACCACCAUACUGAGGAGACGUGUGACACCUGUGGGGCCAAGGUGGAGGGUACUGUUGGUCUUUUGAACCAUAUUCAACAGGUUCACUAUGCAGGAUUCGUUAUGCCAUCGAUGCAAAAGCCAACAGUCCUAACAUCGAAGCCAACGCCAUCACCACCGAAGCCCACACUACUACCACCGAGGCCAACUCCAUCUCUGCUCCCUCCUUCAAAUAGCUGUGCCGCGCCAUACCACACUGCAACUCCACCUAAACCAACUCCAGUAGUUUGGAAAGGUUUUCUUCCCGAUCAGUUUCGGAAAGUCAUCCAACCGGCAGAUCAGGUGUGGAUUGCCAAGUGUCUAUAUGAGCCUACAGGUCAGCUCAAGCAGAAAUUUGAAGCCUGCUGGUUUCACCCCCCACUGGAGCCCAAACCCUCUCGUCCUGAGCCUGGGUGGUACCACCGGCAGAGGCUGUUCAUCUGGGCACCCAUGAGGAUGUGGGGGAUUUCCUUAAAAUGCCCAAAAUGUUCCGGGAAAAUGAACAGCUCCGGC
ensembl:lncRNA